ensembl:lncRNA novel transcript, antisense to CBLN1
GCGGCAGCAGGGUUGGGCUCUCGCCGUGAGUCGACGAAGGGAGCGCGGGCGCGCGCCCGCGUCCGCGCACUGAGAGUCGCCUCGGCCGCUCGCUUUCUCGACUCCCGCCUCGCGCCUCGAUCCUGUUCCGCCUCCCUCGGCCCUCCUGCCCGCCCCCACUCGUCGGCCCUCAGGUACCUAAAAUGUCUCAUUAUUCAUCAAUUAAUGAAAAACAAAUGAAAAUUUGAGAGAGAUAUUCUGAAGAAUAAAAGGAUCAAGUUGGGUCAUUUCUAAAAUCUCAGAGACCUAAUAGGAUGGGGUCUUAGAGAAACAUCUUUUGAGCCACAGACUUCUUUGUUACCAGAAGGAAAAUGAAAGAAGAAAUUUAAAUACCACUUGAAGAGAGGUAAAUAAAUGAGAAAUGGGGCUGAGAGGGCGGGUAUUUUUUUAAAAAUUCAUUAAAUGGAAAAAUCCACAAAUGUUAAUUCUGGUAGAUUUCUUAGAAAUUACAUCAGAGGAGCAUGCUUGGUCUUCCCACCCUCAUUAGGCCUCAGUGACAGGUACUUGAACAACUGAGCCCCUAAUGUGCAUGCUCCCCCACCCCUGAAGCCAGUCUCUGCCCUCCUCUUCCCUCCUCUUGCCCCUGGAAGCUGAUCGCCACCAACUGGCCUCUGGGUGGAUUUGGCCAAUGGAAGCACCUGUAGAGGGAAGAGAGUGAGGUUAGGAUAUUUCUUCCUGCUGUCUCCGUGCUUCCCUGCAGAGAGUGUGAAGAAAUGACCCUGAAAAGCCUCUGGCAGAGGAUUCUUCUUUCAGGAUGGUGUCGCCUCCUCAGCAGCCCAUCCUCCUCCCCUGGACUCAAGCUCUCAUUCCAGUAACACUCCUUCCUCCUUCUCCAUCUUCAGGGGGAGGUUUGCCAGUCGGUGGGUUCUAAGCAUAUCUCGCUGAUUCCCCCCAACCCUGCCGACACCUCUGUAGGUCGUCCCUUCAUUAAAAUCUCUCCAUUUGAACUAUCUGAGUUUAAUUCCAUUUCCUCCUGGUAUCUCAGUGAUACACGGUAUCAGUACAAAAAUCUCGCUUCACCUUCAGAACCAACAGAUUUGAGACAUUUUAUCCUCUGUGGAACCAUUAGUUAUUUUGUCAUUGGUUGUAUCAGAAAAAAAAAUCAGGAAUGCAAAUCCUUCUUUAUUACAGAUUCAGAUUUGCAUAUUACCAAUGUUAUAUAUUUUAAACAAAACUAUUCAUCAUAAGUUUUAAAAAUUAACUACUGGAGUAGUUAAUGAAUCUGAAUGUAAUUAUGUAGCUUUCAUAAUAUUAAAGUAAAAAUACUAAAAGAAGUAUUUCUUAAAGAAGCAAAUGCUCAAUCUCCAAGUAAAUUUUAUUCUAUGCUCUUCCGGUAUAAGAAUAUGUUAAUAUCUUGAAAAAUAUCAUAUUAUUUUGUGAACUCAUAAAGCUAUUUUGAGUUUUUGUAAAAUGAAAACCUUACCAAAAUGUAUUUUAUUGUUGGAAAGCUUGACCGUUACUGCUGUUUAAUUUUUUGAGCUUGUAAACUUUAUUUGUGCAUGUUUUCAACAAAGAAGGAUUUUAUUGUUAUUACAUAAAACAGGUGAUUUCUAGAUUUUAAAAUCACAAAUUGAAAGCAAGGCACAAUAAUAUAUAUUUCAAGAUAUAGGUACUUAGGAGGCAUCCUUUUAGUCAUCUGUUCAAUGUAGCCAUCUAUUUUACACCUACUGUCUACUAUUGUUUGAGGUCCUUGCCAAAGUAUUGCAGGCUAGUUAGGAAACAUAAAACAAUUAGAAAGUAAUCUAUGACAAGUAAGCUAUCUAUAAAUGGCAAUGAAGGGUAGAACAAAUUCAAUGAAAAUAUCUAUUUAAUCCUAGUGUUUACUGGUCUAGAAGAAUAGGCUGAGUAAAUUAGUAUUUCUCUGGCUGUUGUGGUAACACAUUGCAUGCUAUAACAGUUUUAAGUAAUUACAGGUGCAUUGAAAUUUAUCUAUGGCUUUGUCAUCAUAUUCUAAAAUGUCAUGAGUACUUUUUUCUGACCUCAAUUACUAUGAAAUUGGUUUCCAAUAUUUAAUUAACCAAGAAUAUCAAGUCUAUAGGGUAUUAUUAAGGUGAGACUUCUGUAGCCUUUUCAAUAAAGACCAGAAUUUUGGAGUGCCUUGAACCUUAAUCAUUGAUCUUUAAUUCUUAUUAAGUCAACUGCCCACCUUUUAAAGACUGAGGCCCAGGAAGAGUAAGUUUCUCUGAGACAAUGCAUACAGUACAGUGCUUCUUGGGUAUUGGCUCUAAGACCAGAUGCAAAGAAAGGCUAAAAUCCCAUUUCAUUGUUCAUUAGGUGAGAACCCUUUGUUAAGCUGUGUAACCUCUGUGCAUAGUUUCCUCAUCAGCAAAGUCAGAAAAAGUAUGUACCUGAAGGACUGAUUGUAAGGCUGGGAUGAGAGAAUCCAUGUGAUCAGCCCUCACCAACAGGUGCUGCCCAGUUCAUGAGUGCUGCUGCUGUCCUGCCCAAGUACCCAGCUUGCAGAGUGCCAGAGUUAGAGUCCCAGGGGUGUUCUCCACAGCUGCAUGCUUGAUCCAGGCCUAUCAGGUGUUAUUUGUUGACGGAACCAGGCAUCAUCAGCAAACAAAACUGACAAAGCUUCCUGCCCUCUGUGGAAGGCAUCUGAGGAAGAGACUGGAUUUUGUAGCAACAUGUUAUUCUCAUUAUAAACUUUAUCAUUGGAAUACUAAAGCCAAAUCAUCCCCCAUCUCCUUGAUCAGGAUACCCACUUAAUCUAGGCAGCUACACAAUUGUGAGAGCCUUUGUUUUUUUCUGCUGAAACAUCCUUAAAAAGAUACCUCACAACCCAAGAUUUGGCUUUUCUUAAAUACGAUUUUUAAUUUUUUUCAUUUCUAUCUAGAGAUUUAAUUGGAAAUGGAAAAUCAUCAAUUUUCCAAUUAAAUGUCUGUUCCAAUCAACAUUAUACCUUUUAGGUUGUCAUUGUCAUUUUUAAGUUUAAGCAACUUUAAGGAUUUUGAAUCUGGCUGCCUGUAAAUUAAAGGUGAAAGUAAUCAUUGUGUUGGAUUGGAACAUUUUGUCAAUUGAGAGUGGUUUCCUUGUUCUUAGUGUAUGAAAAGUUUAUUUUUCUAAUGU